CGCAAGUAGGUCUACAAGACGCUACUUCCCCUAUCAUAGAAGAGCUUAUCAUCUUUCAUGAUCACGCCCUCAUAAUCAUUUUCCUUAUCUGCUUCCUAGUCCUGUACGCCCUUUUCCUAACACUCACAACAAAACUAACUAAUACUAACAUCUCAGACGCUCAGGAAAUAGAAACCGUCUGAACUAUCCUGCCCGCCAUCAUCCUAGUCCUUAUCGCCCUCCCAUCCCUACGCAUCCUUUACAUAACAGACGAGGUCAACGAUCCCUCCUUUACCAUCAAAUCAAUUGGCCAUCAAUGGUACUGAACCUACGAAUACACCGACUACGGCGGACUAAUCUUCAACUCCUACAUACUUCCCCCAUUAUUCCUAGAACCAGGCGACCUGCGACUCCUUGACGUUGACAAUCGAGUAGUACUCCCGGUUGAAGCCCCCAUUCGUAUAAUAAUUACAUCACAAGACGUCUUACACUCAUGAGCUGUCCCCACAUUAGGCUUAAAAACAGAUGCAAUUCCCGGACGUCUAAACCAAACCACUUUCACUGCUACACGACCAGGGGUAUACUACGGCCAAUGCUCUGAAAUCUGUGGAGCAAACCAGUUUUAUGCCCAUCGUCCUAGAAUUAAUUCCCCUAAAAAUCUUUGAAAUAGGGCCCGUAUUUACCCUAUAGCACCCCCUCUACCCCCUCUAGAGCC
rnacentral:lncRNA from 1 species